ensembl:misc_RNA 7SK 7SK RNA
GGAUGUGAGGGCGACCUGGCUGCAACAUCUGCCACCCCACUGAUCACCAGGGCUGAUUUGGCUGAUCUGACUGGGUAGGUGGGUGUCCCCUUCCUCCCUCACCACUCACUGUGCAUUCCUCCCAAAGCUGCCUGCUCAGUCAAAGAUGACGACUUUUACCGAUAGAAGAGCGCUGUUCUUCAACCAAGGGUGUAGGAGUAGCUGCUCUGCCCUCCCUCCUAGAACCUCCAGACAAGCCCUCCAGAAGCCUUAUAAUGUGGUCUUCUGAUAGUUUUUAUAAUUCAAGCUUCUUAGACCACUUCAUCCUGAGUUUUGUU